AGUUCUCCACUUUAGGCUGCACGCUGUGUGCUGGAGAGGGCUUCUUCGGGCAGGUAGGAUUUUGUACUCAAACUUCCACAAGACCACCAUCAGAGGUGGGGGAGGGCGAAGCGCAGGGGAGAGAGAGAGAGAGAGAGAGAGAGAGAGAGAGAGAGAGAGAAGCCCAAGCCUCAGUAGGCUGAGGUGUCACAUUCCACUCUCAGCACUCACAGGAAUUUCAACUUUGCCCCAUUUGGCAGCGUCCCCGGACAUCAUUGGCCUCCAGGCUCUUGGCUUGGAUUUUCUGGGACUCCCUGGCCUACUGUUUAUUCCCAGUUUGUUCAAAGCAGCUUGCCACCAUGUGUAAUGUGCUGGCAUUUUUUUUUUAAAGGAGGGUAGGGAUAGCUUAAUUUGUUGUUGAGUUUCUAUUUCUAGAAUUUUAAAAUACUGGUUUUCCUUCACUUUAAAUGAUAUUUAUUUCUUGUCUUUGCAGGUAAUAUGCUAAUGCAGAAGUUAGGGGCAGUGUUGAUUAUAUUCCAUUAGCCUGAGAUACUUGUGACCCUGUCUCAAACUAAAUCAAUAAGAUAAAAUAUACUUUCAAAUUAAAUCAACAAGAUAAAAUAUACUCUAAGACUUGGAACCCUGGUGGUGAUGGCGCAUGCCUUUAAAUCCAGAACUUGGGAGGCAGAGGCAGAGGCCAACCUGGUCUUUAGAGCAAGUUUUAGGACAGCCAGGGCUACACAGAGAAAUCCUGCCUCAACAAAACAAAACAAAACAAAACAAAACAAAACAAAACAAAAUAAAACAAAACAAAUAGUAGCAAAUAAAACAAAAAAACAAACAAAAAGACGUAGAAUGUAGGAAAUAAUGUAAAAUACUUCACUAAUUUUUGUAUCGACUACAUGAACUAACAAUAUUUUAAGUGAAUUGGGUUAAAUAAAAAUAUAAUUAAAAUAAAAAACAUGUGUUAACACCAAUGGAUUUUCUUUCUUUUAAAGAUACUUAGUGAACAUUUUGUUUAUUUAUUCGUCUGCUUGUUUGUUAUUUCCUGCGGCUGUGUGUGUUGCCAUGGCACACGUGUGGAGGUCAAUGGACAGCAUCGGAGAGCUGGUUUUCUCCUUUCUCUGUGGGUCCUGGCGUCAAACUUCAGGUUUCCAGGCUCGGUAGGUAACAAACACCUUUACUCUCUGAGAUGAGUUGCCAGCCACACUGAUGAUCCUAAAAAUUGUGUUGUCCAUUCAUGUUAUUUGAGUGCGAGGAAAGGCAGGAUAUAUUGAUAUUAUUUUGAAGAAAAUUAAGUAUUCUUUUUAAUUUUUUAUUUUCUUUUACGUGAAUGAGAGUUUUGCUUUCAUGCAUGUCUGUGCCCCUCAUGCCUGCCUGGUGCCCUUGAAGAGCAGAAGAGGAUGUCAGAUCCUCUGGAAUUGGAGUUACAGAUGGUGAUGAGCUGCCUUGUGGAUGCUGGGAAUCGAACCUGGAUCCCCUGGAAGAGCAACCAGUGCUCUUAACUAUAGAGCCAUCUCUCUAGCACCUGUAUUCAUAUGAAGAGACACCACGACCAAGACAACUCCUAUAAAGGCAAACAUUUAAUUGGGACUGGCUUACAGUUUCAGAGGUUUAGUCCAUUAUCAAUUAUGCAUGGUAGCAUGCAGGCAGAUAUGGUGCUGGAGAAGGAGCUGAGAGUUAGUUCUGCAUCUUGAUCCGAAGGCUGCCAGGAGAAGACUGUCUUUCAGGCAGCUAGACACUUCCCCAGUGUCUUCACUGGCUGCAAUAUCUUUCUCUUCAAAUCCUAUUUCGUUGGCUCCUAAGAAACCUGGCAAGUACAUCUGGCUGUGUCUUCUUGACCAUGGUAGAGGCAGAAGAAGAAACAUCUAUGCGCUGAUGACCCGGGAGCAUGGCGUAUGGCAGCUGGGGUCCUGACAGGAGCUGCUGUGAUCUGUAAACAUUUUCCAUGCUUCCUUUCAGCUUUUAAAACUGUACACAAUAAAUAUGCAAUAAAC
rnacentral:lncRNA from 1 species